rnacentral:rRNA from 1 species
UACGAAGGGGGCUAGCGUUGUUCGGAAUUACUGGGCGUAAAGCGCACGUAGGCGGAUCGAUCAGUCAGGGGUGAAAUCCCAGGGCUCAACCCUGGAACUGCCUUUGAUACUGUCGAUCUGGAGUAUGGAAGAGGUGAGUGGAAUUCCGAGUGUAGAGGUGAAAUUCGUAGAUAUUCGCAAGAACACCAGUGGCGAAGGCGGCUCACUGGCCCGAUACUGACGCUGAGGCACGAAAGCGUGGGGAGCAAACAGGG